CAAGAAUUAUGAUAUUUUAUCAGGCAUGCAAAGACACCAGUGAAAUUAAGAUGUUUGGUUUAAUUUAUCUUAUCUGAAUAUCUGCUGUCACGCAUAACAUUCAUUAUUUGACCGUAUUUCAAAGAUAAACAAAAUCCAGUUACAACUCCGAACCGCUAGAUGGCAGCAGUACACAAACACGGGGCCAAAUCUCACGAGAAAGAUUUCCGCUUUUUGAAAAGCAACAACAUCAGCGAGCAGCCACGAGGAAAGUAUGUACCACACUUGUUUGGUCUUGUGUCAAAGCUGUGCGAAACUGGAGGGAGAAACUUGAGAGACCGUGCCGGAAGAAUGCUGGACAGAGUUCACUAAAAUUCAUUAAUUUCAAAGUUCAACAUGAAUGGUGGUGGUCCACUGCAGAAGCAAGCAUUUGAAAAAACAUCAGUUCUCAGUUAUUAAAGAUGCUGUGUUGAACAACUUCCCAGCAGCAACAGAACUGGAAGUGAAGGAUGCAAUGGGGGCAUUUCAAACAGGCACCAGGGAUCACGGGGGGGGGGGGGGG